AUCAUGGUGCUGCAGCCUUCUUCGCAAGCUUGCUGUCGUCCGUCCUUCACAAGAACUAGUUGCACCAAUACUUGUUUGCCUUCAUGACCUCUACUAAGACCUCUUUAGGAAUCUUUUUCCAAAAGAUCUCACCAUACAUAAAUCAAAUUUUAUGUUCAGUACAUGAACAAUCUGAUUUCUAGACAAGUAUCUCAUACUUAACAUUUUCACUCUUCCCUUUCUUUCUAUUUUUCUCUCCC
rnacentral:lncRNA from 1 species